rnacentral:snRNA from 1 species
AUCGCUUCUCGGCCUUUUGGCUAAGAUCAAGUGUAGUAUGAGUUCAUCUUUUAUUUCAUCUGAAAACCCGGCCACAAUUC